AUGAUCAUCUUAGCUUGGAACUGUCGAGGGUUGGGGUUGGACUCGGCAGUGGGCGAACUUCGGGACCUUAUUAGGUCAUACAACCCAGCGGUGGUGUUCUUAUUAGAAGCAAAGAAAAGAUCAGGGGCGAUGGAGAGGUUAAAAUGCAGCUUGGGCUUCAACCAUGGAGUAGAGGUGGACUGUAGGGGCAAAAGUGGUGGACUGGCACUCUGGUGGAGGGACCAUGUGGAAGUUAUGGUGCGGCCGUGGUGCCAGUACUACAUUAGCGCAAAGAUUGUAGAUGAUGGUGUCCCUUUCAGGUUCAGUGGAAUCUAUGGGGAGCCAUGUAUUGACAAAAGAACCAAAACCUGGGAGGUUAUCCGUUAUCUCAGGACACAAGACAAUCUACCAUGGCUAUGUGGGGUUGAUUUUAAUGAGGCCCUCUGA
rnacentral:rRNA from 1 species